CACGUAGGAGGCAAACGUUAUCCGGAUUUACUGGGCGUAAAGCGCGUGUAGGUGGUUCUGUAAGUAGGGCGUGAAAGCUCCCGGCUCAACUGGGAGAGGCCGUUCUAAACUGCAGAGCUAGAGGAUGGUAGAGGGAGGUGGAAUUCCAGGUGUAGCGGUGGAAUGCGCAGAUAUCUGGAGGAACACCAGUGGCGAAGGCGGCCUCCUGGACCAUUCCUGACACUCAGACGCUAAAGCUAGGGUAGCAAACGGGAUUAGAUACCCCUGUAGUCCCU
rnacentral:rRNA from 1 species